CGGGGGUCCCUGGGUCAUGGGUUUGCCAGGGUCAUGGAUUUGCCUGGGCGUGGGUCUCUGGGUCAUGGGUUUGCCUGGGCGGGGGUCUCUGGGUCAUGGGUUUGCCUGGGCGGGGGUCUCUGGGUCAUGGGUUUGCCUGGGCGGGGGUCCCUGGGUCAUGGGUUUGCCAGGGUCAUGGAUUUGCCAGGGUCAUGGAUUUGCCUGGGCGUGGGUCUCUGGGUCAUGGGUUUGCCUGGGGGGGGGUCUCUGGGUCAUGGGUUUGCCUGGGCGGGGGUCUCUGGGUCAUGGGUUUGCCUGGGCGGGGGUCUCUGGGUCAUGGGUUUGCCUGGGUGGGAGUCUCUGGGUCAUUGGUUUGCGGGGGUCAUGGAUUUGCCUGGGCGUGGGUCUCUGGGUCAUGGGUUUGCCUGGGCGGGGGUCUCUGGGUCAUGGGUUUGCCUGGGCGGGGGUCCCUGGGUCAUGGGUUUGCCAGGGUCAUGGAUUUGCCUGGGCGUGGGUCUCUGGGUCAUGGGUUUGCCUGGGCGGGGUCUCUGGGUCAUGGGUUUGCCUGGGCGGGGGUCUCUGGGUCAUGGGUUUGCCUGGGCGGGGGUCUCUGGGUCAUGGGUUUGCCUGGGUGGGAGUCUCUGGGUCAUUGGUUUGCGGGGGUCUCGGUCAUGGGUUUGCCUGGGCGAGGGUCCCUGGGUCUUGGGUUUGCCCGGGUGCGGGUCUCUGGGUCAUGGGUUUGCCCGUGUCAUGGGCUUGCCUGGAUGGGGGCUGUAACAGCAGAACUGUCUUCAAUGGCCCCCUAUUCACGACAGGACACUAGUGGCCAAGGCCCCCUAUUCACUACAGGACACUACUUCAAUGGCCCCCUAUUGACCACAGGACACUAGUGGCCAGGGCCCGUAGAGCACUAGACGGACCGUUUCAGGACAGAUCCAGGAACAGGCGGAUGGAGAAGCAAACCACUGAUCUGAUUAGUAACUUUGUCAGAAUGACUGGAUUGACCAACAUGUGGCUCUGAAAUGGAAGCCUAUUCCCUAUAUAGUGCUCUGCUUUUUGACACUGUAGUGCCUUAUCUAGGGAAUAGGGUGCCAUUUUUCAUGCGCGCUUUGAAACCUAAGAUAUAACAGUUGUGUGUGUACAGUAUAAAUACAAAGAAAGAUAACUAUUUUAAAAUAGAUAGGACAUUGCUGUUUAGCAUUUUCUAUUUAAAUUAUUUAUUUUUUUAGAUAUCGUACUAAUGCUAUAUUGACAUGCAUAUAAAUGUGUACAUACAUGUGGCAUUAACAGAUAUUUCGGUAACACUCGACACCCAGCGUCAUAGCAUGUUAUGACACUGUCAUAACCAUCUCAUAUCUGUUGUCACAACACUCAAAUGUAUAUUUACACAUGUGACAUUUUGUUAGUUUAUGGCUGGUGAUGACACCUGCCAUAAGUGUCCAAACCAACAUUUAUUAAAAUGUGUUUUCCCUGCCAAGAAGAUUCCUUUCAACGUUUGUUU
ensembl:lncRNA